rnacentral:sRNA from 1 species
UAAAAUAAACAAACAGUGUAGUGUUAC